ensembl:lncRNA
GAGAAACGCAGACCAGGGCCCUGUUUCAGAAAGCCGGUUUAGAAAACUCAGAGUUAAAAAUGAUACUCAGGGUUGAGUAACCCCGAACUGUCCAACUCGGAAUAUUCGGUUUCAGAAAGGCUGAUAACAAUUAGUUCAAUCAACGCGGAGUUGCUUUAACCCCAAGUUAAGCGCGCGCACGAGGAUACAUAAAGCCCUGAUUAGUGGAGCACAGAUUAAGCGAGUCACCAUGGAGACGGAGGGAAAGAAGGCGCGGUCAAUGUAUUUUACAGCGCUUGAGGCCGAAAUUCUGAUGGCAGCAUAUGCCGAUAACAUGCAAAUUUUUGCGGAAAAAAAGUAACACAGCCUCAGCUGCAAAAGAAAGGGAGCACGCAUGGCAAAACAUAGCCGACAGAGUCAAUGCGUGCAACCCAGCAGGCCCCAAACGUUCCUGGCAGCAAGUAAAAAUGAAAUAUAAAAAUAUAGUCCAAACAGCCAACAGAAAAAAAGCGGAGGGCCGAAAAACAGGUGGGGGUCCUCCACCACCACCACUCACAAAGGCUGAGCAGUUGGCCCUCAGCCAAAACAGUGGGCGCC